AAGGAGUCUGGUCAUCAGGAAGGCAUUUCUCAGAAUGGGAGAGUGAACAAUAAAAUCAGUUUCAUGUUUGAUUCAGUAACAUGGAAACUUGGGCUGACGGAAUGAAAAGUAAGCAUAUAAAAAUGCCACAGGAAGAGGCUCUGAGUUUGAUCACAACCGAAAAAAAAUGUUUUGGACACUUAACAAACAUGCUGAAUAGAUACGAUGUCAGGUGGAAUGUAGUCUGGAUUCCCAGGAGGUUGGGACUACAUUCCAAAGAAGAAAGACAUCACCAAGAGAAUUUUGAUAGUUUAAUUGGGAGAAAGAAGGUCAAGAUAGCUCCUCCUUAGAUGUUUUCAGAGUAUAUCUUUAAUGAAGCAAAGCAGUUUGCUUUAGUUUGGUAAGAUUUCUGUCUAUAGGUGAGAAACAAUAAAGAAAACUGCUGAGAAGUAA